rnacentral:rRNA from 1 species
CAUGUCUUUUUGAUUAUAAUUUAAGGUCUAAUCUGCUCAAUGAUUAAUUAAAUAGCCGCAGUAUUUUAACUGUGCAAAGGUAGCAUAAUAAUUAGCUUCUUAAUUAGGGGCUUGUAUGAAUGAUUGGACGAGAAAAUUUCUGUCUCCUUUUGAUUGAUUUUUGAAUUUUAUUUUUAAGUUAAAAAGCUUAAAUUUUUAUAAAAGACGAGAAGACCCUAUAGAGUUUUAUACUUAAUAUUUAUUAUUAUUUAGAAAUUUAUUUAUUUUUUAAGUAUUUAGUUGGGGUGACUUAAAGAUUUAAUUAAUUCUUUAAAUAUCUAAUUGAUGAUUUUUAAAUUAAGAAUCUAUUUUUUUAAAUUUAAAACUAAUUACCUUAGGGAUAACAGCGUAAUUUUUCUUAAAAGCUCUUAUUGAAAGGAAAUUUUGCGACCUCGAUGUUGGAUUAAAAUUAAUUUUUGGUGCAGUAACUUAAAAAUUAGGUCUGUUCGACCUUUAAAAUU